UACGUGGGGACCGAGCGUUGUCCGGAUUCAUUGGGCGUAAAGAGCUCGUAGGCGGCCACUCAAGUCGAAUGUGAAACCUCGAGGCUUAACCUCGAGCCUGCAUUCGAUACUGGGCGGCUAGAGUCUGGUAGGGGGAUCUGGAAUUCCUGGUGUAGCGGUGGAAUGCGCAGAUAUCAGGAGGAACACCGGUGGCGAAGGCGGGAUCCUGGGCCAGUACUGACGCUGAGGAGCGAAAGCGUGGGGAGCAAACAGG
rnacentral:rRNA from 1 species